GUAUUGGUCAAUGGACGCAAGUCUGAACCAGCCAUGCCGCGUGAAGGAUGAAGGUCCUCUGGAUUGUAAACUUCUUUUAUCUGGGACGAAAACGGGAUUUUUAUCUCAAUUGACGGUACCAGAGGAAUAAGCACCGGCUAACUCCGUGCCAGCAGCCGCGGUAAUACGGAGGGUGCGAGCGUUAUCCGGAUUUACUGGGUUUAAAGGGUGCGUAGGUGGGCUUAUAAGUCAGUGGUGAAAUCUCCGAGCUUAACUUGGAAACUGCCGUUGAUACUAUAGGUCUUGAAUUAUCUGGAGGUAAGCGGAAUAUGUCAUGUAGCGGUGAAAUGCUUAGAUAUGACAUAGAACACCAAUUGCGAAGGCAGCUUACUACAUAUAAAUUGACGCUGAGGCACGAAAGCGUGGGGAUCAAACA
rnacentral:rRNA from 1 species